CAAUAGCGUAUAUUUAAGUUGUUGCAGUUGAAAAGCUCGUAGUUGGAUUUCGGUUAAGAGCGACCGGUCCGCCGUUUGGUGUGCACUGGUUGGUUUUAACUUCCUGUAGAGGACGUGCUCUGGGUUUAACGACCUGGACUCGGAGUCUACGUGGUUACUUUGAAAAAAUUAGAGUGUUCAAAGCGGGCUUACGCUUGAAUAUUUCAGCAUGGAAUAACACUAUAGGACUCCUGUCCUAUUUCGUUGGUCUCGGGACGGGAGUAAUGAUUAAGAGGAACAGUUGGGGGCAUUCGUAUUUCAUUGUCAGAGGUGAAAUUCUUGGAUUUAUGAAAGACGAACUUCUGCGAAAGCAUUUGCCAAGGAUGUUUUCAUUAA
rnacentral:rRNA from 1 species